UUACACAAAGGUACCAACAAAUGUCGCAGCAAACUAUUGAAAAAUUUCACUUGUAUAUUUCUAGGUGUUCGGGUAGCACCAGGCCAUUCUCCAUUUGUUGUCCGGCCGGUGGAGUCAAGCGAAGUUCAGAUGUGGGAGCCCAGCUUCCAAGGUGUAGCAGACUGGAAGACAACCGCUGCUGUUUAACUUGUGUAUUUCAGGCUGUGCAAUUGUGUCUUUCGGAGAGUUCUUAAAUGUUGAUUUCGGGGAAGUUCUAUUUGUACAUAUCUGCAGUCCAUUUUUUGGCACAAAAUAGUUUCGCCGCUUUAUUUUUGUAUGUACAUGUUUAUCUUUCUUUUACAGCAUCAAGCGGUUCAACUAUUAACUUUGAGAAGUUUAAUUGAGAUGCAGGUUUGCGCCGCCAUUGACUUCC